rnacentral:rRNA from 1 species
CACGGUACCGCAUGGUACUGAGGGAAAAGGAUUUAUUCGCUUCAGGAUGGACUCGCGUCCAAUUAGCUAGUUGGUGAGGUAACGGCCCACCAUGCCGACGAUUGGUAGCCGGACUGAGAGGUUGAACGGCCACAUUGGGACUGAGACACGGCCCAGACUCCUACGGGAGGCAGCAGUGGGGAAUAUUGCACAAUGGGGGAAACCCUGAUGCAGCGACGCCGCGUGGAGGAAGAAGGUUUUCGGAUUGUAAACUCCUGUCUUCGGGGACGAUAAUGACGGUACCCGAGGAGGAAGCCACGGCUAACUACGUGCCAGCAGCCGCGGUAAAACGUAGGUGGCAAGCGUUGUCCGGAAUUACUGGGUGUAAAGGGAGCGCAGGCGGGUCGGCAAGUUGGAGGUGAAAGCUGUGGGCUCAACUCACAAACUGCCUUCAAAACUGCAGAUCUUGAGUGGUGCAGAGGUAGGCGGAAUUCCCGGUGUAGCGGUGGAAUGCGUAGAUAUCGGGAGGAACACCAGUGGCGAAGGCGGCCUACUGGGCACUAACUGACGCUGAGGCUCGAAAGCAUGGGUAGCAAACAGGAUUAGAUACCCUGGUAGUCCAUGCCGUAAACGAUGAUUACUAGGUGUGGGGGGAUUGACCCCCUCCGUGCCGCAG